rnacentral:tRNA from 1 species
GCAGUGGCGGUUCAGUGGUAGAAUUCUUGCCUCCCAUGCAGGAGACCCAGGUUCGAUACCUGGCCAAUGAG